rnacentral:rRNA from 1 species
AGAGAGAGACAUGCGCGCAUAUCAAUAAGCGGAGGAAAAGAAACUAACAAGGAUUCCCCUAGUAACGGCGAGUGAAGCGGGAAGAGCUCAAAUUUGAAAUCUUAAAGGGUUUCCCUUUACGAAUUGUAGUUUAAAGAAGUGUUUUUCUGUUGAGGUUUUGGUAAAAGUUCUUUGGAAUAGGACAUCAUAGAGGGUGAGAAUCCCGUAUUUGACCUUUACCUUUCAACUUUGUGAUACACUUUCAAAGAGUCGGAUUGUUUGGGAAUGCAGUCCAAAAUGGGUGGUAAAUUUCAUCUAAAGCUAAAUAUUGGCGAGAGACCGAUAGCGAACAAGUACCGUGAGGGAAAGAUGAAAAGAACUUUGAAAAGAGAGUUAAACAGUACGUGAAAUUGUCAAAAGGGAAGCGUUUGACACCAGUGUUGUUUUUCUGAAAAUCAAUUAAAGAACUGUUUAUGCUAAGUUGUUUAGACUUUAUCAGCUAACUGUUUAGUUUUGAGCUUUUCUUUAAUGCACUUUUCAGUUAACAAGUCAACAUCAAUUUCUUUUGCUGUAAAAAAGCUUGAGGAAGGUGGCUUGAGAUUCGUCUUAAGUGUUUAUAGCCUCUUGCCUAUGCAGUCGGAGAGAUUGAGGUCUGCAGCGUAGAUCCUUCGGGGCUAAAUGCAUUUGUGCUAAGUUAUAGCAUUUUAUAGACAACUUGUUGACUAUGAUUUGUCUUGUAGCUUACUCGCUUAUGUUAUUUUACCUACGCUUAGGAUGUUGAGCGCAUGUCUCUCUCUA